CACCUAAGAGAGAGAGGCUUUGUAGAAAAUUUUAUUGUCAGGUAUCUGUUACUAAGUCAAGCCUCUGAAGAAUAGCAUGAAGUAAUCCAAACAGAGACCUCAUAAAACUUUUUACAUCUAUCCUAACGAACCCUGAUUAGGAACCUGUGCAGUGAUGUUAUCCUGAUUGGUGGGAAAUUGGUGAAGGAAAUAACCAAUUUUCAAUCAACGUAAUUGGUUGUUCAGGAGAUUUGAGAUCUUGAGAAAAAACGUUGCAUCUUCUGCAGCUGUGUGAUUUUUCUGGGAUGGCAAAUAAAUUGCUGGCUCGGCACUUCUCCAGCUACAAGGGGGGUUUCACAGAAGAGGAUUGGCUAAAUUGCCAGAAAUGAGUUUACAACCAAGACUGUUACAGGUGAAAGAAAAGAGCUUCACUUUCCCCGCCAGAGGAUAGUUGGAUGCUCAACACCACUACGGCACCCAACAAAAGGAAUUUCAUGAGCCAGCCUUCAGAAAACAAAGAAGAAACCAAGAGGAAAUCCUACCUCAUGAAUCCAUAGAGCCUAGAAUUGCUUGACCGUGCUCCCAGAGUGGUAUGGCUCAGGCAUCACUGUCUGGUGGGUGCUCACUGCAGA